GACGAACGCUGGCGGCGUGCUUAACACAUGCAAGUCGAACGGAGUGGCGAACGGGUGAGUAACACGUGGGUGACCUGCCCUGCACUUCGGGAUAAGCCUGGGAAACUGGGUCUAAUACCGGAUCGUGUUGGAUGGGCCCGCGGCCUAUCAGCUUGUUGGUGGGGUAAUGGCCUACCAAGGCGGCGACGGGUAGCCGGCCUGGGCGGGUGGACGGCCACAAUGGGACUGCGACACGGCGCAGACUCCUACGGGAGGCAGUAGUGGGGAAUCUUGCACAAUGAGCGGAAGCCUGAUGCAGAGACGCGGCGUGGGGGAUGAUGGCGUUCUGGUUGUAAACUCCUUUCACCAUAGACGCGGUAGAUGGAGAAGAAGCACCGGCUAACUACGUGCCAGCAGCCGCGGUAAUUC
rnacentral:rRNA from 1 species